UCACAAUGCAAGAUCAAAUUCCAGUGCUUUGAAUGACUUCUCCUCUUGAUUGUACCAUUAUCGUCAUCACUUGAAGAAUCUGAAGCACUGGAUUGUGCUUGCCUGUGGCACCGACGAUGCUUUGCAUGGCUUCUCCUUUUGAUAACUUCAUCAUCAUCAUCAUCAUUUGAAUAAUCAGAAGCACUGGAAUUUGAUCUUGCAUUGUGAUGCCUAUGUCUUCUAUGGUUUUUCUUUUUCUUCCUCCUUUCUUCUUCAGAGUCACUCUCAAAACCAUCACUGCUAUCGUCACUGGAGUCUGAGGACCGUCUUUUUGGCUUUCGAUUGGAUUUCUUUUCCCUCCUCUUCUCAUUGUCACCUGACUCAGAGUGGGCAUGCUUUCUGUGUUUUUUAUGGGUCCUUUUGCGGGACUUUUUUCCAUCAUUGCUAUCACUAUCACUGUCAAUGUCAGACUUCAACACAGAUCUUUUAUGUUUUGCCGCCUUCUGCUUCCUCUCUUUGGCUUCAGCAUCAGCCUUUGCCUUUGCAGCAGCUUCUAAUUUUUGUUCCCAUUUCAAUGGGGCUUCUUUCUUCUCCAAAGCUCUCUUCUUUUUCUCCUCAACCAACUGGAUGAAUUUCUUGCAGUCCAUUUAUAUAUAAGAACAAGCUCAAUAUCUUAUGUGCAAACAAGAAACACCUCCCUCAAAGCUCAAGCUAAC
rnacentral:misc_RNA from 1 species